UGCCGAUGACAGACCCCCCCACCCCAACCUCCGAGGUACUUGCCCAAUUCCACCAAAUCCAGUUAGGAGAAGCCGAAACAAAAUCACAAAGACGAGAUAAAAAAGACGCAGCAUUCUACCACACUUCGAUCCCGCGCCCGCCUCCCGAAUUUGUUCCCCACCUUGACCGCAAUUAGCACCCUCCCUUCAACCCUUGUUUCAAAGGUGCAAAAGGGAGUGUCUGUGAUUUUUUUGUCGGUCGGUGGUGGAAGAACAGGAGGUAGUUUCCCAAAAGAAACUUUAAAGCGGUGAUGGGACGAUCCUAACCCUAAGUUGUUCCACGUAGAGUAGUCAAGGUUAGGUUCAUUCCGGAAAGCAGGGUUUCCCACUGUGGUCUGACUGCAUCAUGACUUUGUCAUUGUCCCUGUGGACGCUGUGCGGGGAAUGGGGAAAGAGAGGUCUUGCUGGACACCGUGUUGGUGAUGAAGCACUCUUUCUCCCUCUCUGCUCGGUGAACGCCUCAGCGAAGGCAUAGCUCAAAGAAGUGGUGCAGGAGGUUCAAUGUACGACCCUCUCAAAGGAAUGGAUCUUUCCCUCAGGCGCAGUGUACCAUCACCCAUACUCCUUGGGUGAAGAAAAAAGUUAGAUAUACUUUCGUAUAUCAUUGUGCUGCGCCCUCUGCACACGUCAACCGCAAAGCCAGUUCCCCCUUGCGCACUACAAAGGGGAAAUGGUUGCCUAGACACCAAUCCUCCGUUUUAUACACACUAUAACACUACAGUUGUAGCGCUACACGGUCUUUCUUGUUCUAUCCUUCUUACCGCCGUCCCUUGACUCAAAGGGAAAAGACUAAGGAAGGAUGAAUGUCCGUCGCUUUUGUUUUUAUCUUCAGCCAACUUUUUUUUUUUUUUGGAUUUGGGCUCUUCUUCUGGGUUUGGUCUUGCGUUUGGAUACGGUAGGGUAUAGGUUGCGGCUCCAUAGAAGGGUUCUCGAGGCACACUACGAAGGCAAACCACCAACUUAUUCACCUCAUCUUUCACACUCCUUUUUUCGCUCUCUCGACGGCUACCACACUCUUCGUGGCCAAAGGCGAACUCAAGAACAUCCAACCUCCUUCUAAACACUGCUCUGCGGAGAAAAACCAAGUCGACAGGACUCCCAAUCCGAUCCCAUCUCAUCCUCCCCUCUCCGAUCUGCCUUUCGUGCAUGCUUCUCAGGAAUUUGGUGUGGGGCAAGCGCGUCCCGUCUCUGGAUCAGGAGGCGUGAGGAAGCAGCACCGCCUUUUCGCCUGUCCCAUGUUUCAGAGGCGCAGGAAAGGACGGGAAGUCUUUGGAUGGGUGGCAAAGAUGAUGGAAGUAGAUUGGGAUCCUGCGCGGCCUUUUUUGUGUUGUCAGAGCUUUGCGCUCGUCAGAAAGGUUGGUUGGAUUCUUAGGUUGCCCCUUUUGUUCGCGUUGCAAGUCAUCGAGGUCACGAGAAAAGGAGGAGUAGGCGGAGGAGGAGGCGGAAUAGGCUGUGUCUGAAUUUUUCUUUCCUCUCAUCGA
rnacentral:telomerase_RNA from 1 species